UACGUAGGGGGCUAGCGUUGUCCGGAAUCAUUGGGCGUAAAGCGCGUGUAGGCGGUCCGGUAAGUCCGCUGUGAAAGUCGGGGGCUCAACCCUCGAAUGCCGGUGGAUACUGUCGGGCUUGAGUACGGAAGAGGCGAGUGGAAUUCCUGGUGUAGCGGUGAAAUGCGCAGAUAUCAGGAGGAACACCGAUUGCGAAGGCAGCUCGCUGGGACGUUACUGACGCUGAGACGCGAAAGCGUGGGGAGCAAACAGG
rnacentral:rRNA from 1 species